CCUACGAGAUGCAGCAGUGAGGAAUAUUGGUCAAUGGGCGUAAGCCUGAACCAGCCAAGUCGCGUGAAGGAUGAAGGCUCUAUGGAUCGUAAACCUCUUUUAUACGGGAAUAAAGUGCGGGACGUGUCCCGUUUUGUAUGUACCUUAUGAAUAAGGAUCGGCUAACUCCGUGCCAGCAGCCGCGGUAAUACGGAGGAUCCGAGCGUUAUCCGGAUUUAUUGGGUUUAAAGGGUGCGUAGAUGGCGUUUUAAGUCAGCUGUGAAAGUCUGUGGCUCAACCAUAAAAUUGCCGUUGAUACUGGGAGGCUUGAGUAUAUUUGAGGCAGGCGGAAUGCGUGGUGUAGCGGUGAAAUGCUUAGAUAUCACGAAGAACCCCGAUUGCGAAGGCAGCUUACCAAGC
rnacentral:rRNA from 1 species